rnacentral:rRNA from 1 species
UACAGAGGGGGCAAGCGUUGUUCGGAAUUACUGGGCGUAAAGGGCGCGUAGGCGGCCUUCUAAGUCGAACGUGAAAUCCCUGGGCUCAACCCAGGAACUGCGUCCGAUACUGGAAGGCUUGAAUCCGGGAGAGGGAUGCGGAAUUCCAGGUGUAGCGGUGAAAUGCGUAGAUAUCUGGAGGAACACCGGUGGCGAAGGCAGGUCUCUGGGCCACUACUGACGCUGAGAAGCGAAAGCAUGGGGAGCGAACAGG